rnacentral:rRNA from 1 species
AUUGAACGCUGGCGGCAGGCCUAACACAUGCAAGUCGAGCGGAUGAGAGGAGCUUGCUCCUUGAUUUAGCGGCGGACGGGUGAGUAAUGCCUAGGAAUCUGCCUGGUAGUGGGGGAUAACGUUCCGAAAGGAACGCUAAUACCGCAUACGUCCUACGGGAGAAAGCAGGGGACCUUCGGGCCUUGCGCUAUCAGAUGAGCCUAGGUCGGAUUAGCUAGUUGGUGAGGUAAUGGCUCACCAAGGCGACGAUCCGUAACUGGUCUGAGAGGAUGAUCAGUCACACUGGAACUGGGACGCGGUCCAGACUCCUACGGGAGGCAGCAGUGGGGAAUAGUGGACAAUGGGCGAAAGCCUGAUCCAGCCAUGCCGCGUGUGUGAAGAAGGUCUUCGGAUUGUAAAGCACUUUAAGUUGGGAGGAAGGGCAGUAAGCUAAUACCUUGCUGUUUUGACGUUACCGACAGAAUAAGCACCGGCUAACUUCGUG